AGUAUUUUAGGUUAAUAAAACUAUAAACCUUCAAAGUUUAUGAUAUUUUUAUGAAAUAAGUACUU
rnacentral:tRNA from 1 species